ACGUAGUGCAUAUAAAUAAGCGGAGGAAAAGAAACCAACCGGGAUUACCUCAGUAACGGCGAGUGAAGCGGUAACAGCUCAAAUUUGAAAUCUGGCUCUUCCGGAGUCCGAGUUGUAAUUUGUAGAAGAUGCUUUGGGAGGUAGGGCCGGCCUAAGUUCCUUGGAACAGGACAUCAGAGAGGGUGAGAAUCCCGUAUGUGGCCGUGGCCUACGCCCGUGUAAAGCUCUUUCGACGAGUCGAGUUGUUUGGGAAUGCAGCUCAAAAUGGGUGGUAAAUUUCAUCUAAAGCUAAAUAUUGGCCAGAGACCGAUAGCGCACAAGUAGAGUGAUCGAAAGAUGAAAAGCACUUUGGAAAGAGAGUUAAACAGUACGUGAAAUUGUUGAAAGGGAAGCGCUUGCAACCAGACUUGGGCGUCGUCGAUCAUCCGGGGUUCUCCUCGGUGCACUCGACGAGGCACAGGCCAGCAUCGGUUUGGAUGGUUGGAGAAAGGCCCUAGGAACGUAGCUCUCUUCGGGGAGUGUUAUAGCCUAGAGCGCAAUGCAGCCCAUCCGGACCGAGGACCGCGCCUUUGGCUAGGAUGCUGGCGUAAUGGUUGCAAGCGACCCGUCUUGAUCCCCGGACCAGAUA
rnacentral:rRNA from 1 species